CUCUUUUCUUCCUUCUCUCUCUUCGUUCUCUAUUUCUCCCGAGAACAUAAAUUAGGGCUCUUUUAAGUAGAUGGAAUCACUUCAUAGUUCUUAAUUUCAAGCUGUAAUUGCGGUCAAGUAGCAGCGAUUAAGGUUUCUCACACCAAUGCGAACCUAAGGAGGUUUUUUGGUUGUAGGAGAUAUAGGAAGUCAGGCGCAUGCAAUUUUUUUCAGUGGUUGGAUCCACCAUUGCUAGACCAUGUUCAACAUGUGAUUAUGGGUUUACUUAGGCAUAUCAGGGAAUAUCAAGAAGAGAGGAAGAAGCACAAGACUGUCUAUCGUAUUAGCAUUGGUCUUUUUGUGAUGUUUAUUGUGAUGAUAAUGUGGGAUAGAGUAAAGAAAUGGGCUAUGUGAAAUUGCAAUAGUAUGGAUUGGGGAAGUAGGUUUUAGCCUUCAUUUUGGGUAGAAUAGGCUGACUGUAGUGAUUUUUGGCAUUUGGAGUAGGUACUUUUUGUGUAGUUUGUACUCCCCAUCAUUAUUCAUCUUCUAUUACUUUGUAAUUUCUUAAGUUGGAAAUGAAAUUGGUAAUAUUUUCAAAAGAUAUAUGUUGACUGUUGGUUUC